rnacentral:rRNA from 1 species
UACGUAGGGGGCAAGCGUUGUCCGGAAUUACUGGGCGUAAAGCGCGUGUAGGUGGUGGGACAAGUCUGCUGUGAAAGUGCCUGGCUUAACCGGGCGAGGUCGGCGGAAACUGUCCGACUCGAGGACGGUAGAGGGGGGUGGAAUUCCAGGUGUAGCGGUGAAAUGCGUAGAUAUCAAGAGGAACACCUGAGGCGAAGGCGGGUUGCUGGGCCGACACGUGACGCUGAGGCGCGAAAGCUAGGGGAGCAAAC